GGUCAAGCUACAAAGGGCGCAUGGUGGAUGCCUUGGCACCAGUAGCCGAUGAAGGACGUGAUAAGCUGCGAUAAGCUUCGGGUAGGCGCAAAUAGCCUGUGAUUCGAAGAUUUCCGAAUGGGGAAACCCACACUACUAACGUAGUGUACUGUGAGUUGAAUAAAUAGAUUCACAGAGGUAUACCUAGGGAACUGAAACAUCUAAGUACCUAGAGGAAGAGAAAGAAAAAUCGAUUUUCUAAGUAGCGGCGAGCGAAAGGGAAAGAGCCCAAACCAGAGUCUUGACUCUGGGGUUGAGGACAGAUCAUAAAAGCGGAAAGUUCUAACCGAACUUAACUGGAAAGUUAGUCCGUAGAAGGUAAUAGACCUGUAGGUGAAAGAAUAAACCGUAAGAUCUGAUCCAGAGUACCACGAGACACGUGAAACCUUGUGGGAAGCAGGGAGG
rnacentral:ncRNA from 1 species